rnacentral:sRNA from 1 species
GGUUUAUUUUCCAGAUGCAAUCAAUGCCCCAGUCACCUGCUGCUAUAACUUCACCAAUAGGAAGAUCUCAGUGCAGAGGCUGGCGAGCUAUAGAAGAAUCACCAGCAGCAAGUGUCCCAAAGAAGCUGUGAUGUGAGUUCAGCACACCAACCUUCCCUGGCCUGAAGUUCUUCCUUGUGGAGCAAGGGACAAGCCUCAUACACCUAGAGUCAGAGAGUGCACUAUUUAACUUAAUGUACAAAGGUUCCCAAUGGGAAAACUGAGGCACCAAGGGAAAAAGUGAACCCCAACAUCACUCUCCACCUGGGUGCCUAUUCAGAACACCCCAAUUUCUUUAGCUUGAAGUCAGGAUGGCUCCACCUGGACACCUAUAGGAGCAGUUUGCCCUGGGUUCCCUCCUUCCACCUGCCUUCCCCCUCUAGCUCCCAUGGCAGCCCUUUGGUGCAGAAUGGGCUGCACUUCUAGACCAAAACUGCAAAGGAACUUCAUCUAACUCUGUCCUCCCUCCCCACAGCUUCAAGACCAUUGUGGCCAAGGAGAUCUGUGCUGACCCCAAGCAGAAGUGGGUUCAGGAUUCCAUGGACCACCUGGACAAGCAAACCCAAACUCCGAAGACUUGAACACUCACUCCACAACCCAAGAAUCUGCAGCUAACUUAUUUUCCCCUAGCUUUCCCCAGACACCCUGUUUUAUUUUAUUAUAAUGAAUUUUGUUUGUUGAUAUGAAACAUUAUGCCUUAAGUAAUGUUAAUUCUUAUUUAAGUUAUUGAUGUUUUAAGUUUAUCUUUCAUGGUACUAGUGUUUUUUAGAUACAGAGACUUGGGGAAAUUGCUUUUCCUCUUGAACCACAGUUCUACCCCUGGGAUGUUUUGAGGGUCUUUGCAAGAAUCAUUAAUACAAAGAAUUUUUUUUAACAUUCCAAUGCAUUGCUAAAAUAUUAUUGUGGAAAUGAAUAUUUUGUAACUAUUACACCAAAUAAAUAUAUUUUUGUACAAAA